GUGCUCGCUUCGGCAGCACAUAUACUAAAAUUGGAACGAUACAGAGAAGAUUAGGGCAUGGGGCCCGCGCAAGGAGGACACGCAAAUUCGUCGAAGCGUCCAUCCCCCCC
rnacentral:snRNA from 1 species